UUCCAAUAUUACAUGAUGACAACCAAAGCGGCAUAUUUUUGUUUUCUUUAUCAUCACCUUUGCUUGUCUCAAAUCUUCAUCUUUCUUUUUUCCUUGAAUAUAUAUACACUUGGGAUUUCAUCAUUUUAUUGCUAAAAUGAUAUACGAAUACUCAAAUAUGGAGAAUAGUAACAAAGAGAGGGAGAUGGAGUGUAGUAGUAGGAAAAUGAAUGCUUAUAUGCAUAGCCAAAUUAUGAGAAUUAGAGAAGAGGAUUCACAGCUUGGUGAAGAUAUAGCUAAGAAGCUUUGGGAGAGAGUUGUUGUUGACCAAGAUGUUGCUUCUGUUUUGAUGUUGUCUAGGCCUAUCUUGCCUGCUUCGCCACUUAGUGGCAAAACGCCUAUUAAGUCUGCUAACUAGGAAGAUAUAGAGCCAUACCCGCCCAGAGGAAAAGAGGGAUGAUGAAGAUGAUGUAAAUAGAUAUGGAGAUGAAGUUCCUUUCUUAUCACUUUCGUUAUGUAUCUUUUGUUGUACAGUAAUAUAUAGUAGUAUAUACGUAGCAAGUAGGAAGAAACUAGACGAAAUCUCCUCCCUCCUCUAUGUAUGUACCUUAAUAUAUAGAAGUACAAUAUACGUAGUUGAGAAGCAAA